GUCCGUUCAUCCAUUUUUCAUGGACGCAUGAAACCUAAGCAUGGAACGGGGCUUAGGU
rfam:Marine metagenome 758152, whole genome shotgun sequence.